CCUGAGCAUGCACAAAAGGCCUUUUCUUAUAUUUUGUCAGACCUGAGAAUACUUCUGACAAGUUAGUACUGAAAGAGCCUAUUUAGGCUUUAAAUGGCAUUGCCUUUAGUUCUAAAAAGUACUGCAUAUCAGCAAUGAUCUCUUUAUUGAGUCUUACUUCUUAUUUUCAAAGUAUAAUUCAACAGCUGGCAACUGACAUACUCAGAAGAGGGCUCCCCACACCACCACUCUCCAGAAAAUAUAAUGUCAAAUUGAGUUAGUUUUUUAUAAAUUCACCAUUAUGUGCAAGGGAGAGUAAAGUUCAGUAUUCAGUCUCACUCUGCAAGUGCAGUGAGCAUAGUUCUGGCUCGUCAUCCUUUUCAGUAGUCAUUGAUUUGCUGUGAAUGCUAAUAAGCAGUCAAAAUCUGAAUCUGCUGUAAACAUCUUGUUUUGUUCCACUCUGUCUGGGUGUGUCCUUAGUUUUCCUGAGUGAAUUCCAACACUAACUUGUAAGGCUAAAAUUCUCUGUUGUGCUUUCUUUAGCAAGAAAACCAGUUCCUGCCCUUCCUGGCUUGUGGCCUCAUUUCUGUUCCCAACAUCAAUUAACUUCUCCAUGAGUUUUGUCAGUGCUGGUAUUUGUGGCAGCAUGCCACAAAACCGGUCACUGAAACGGUCAGACUCCUGAAAACACGUGAUUUGCCUUCAGGCACACUAAAAUGUGCAAUAGAAGAUAAUAAAAUAAACAAAAAUAGUUAAACAUAGCCUGAGAAGAGUCAAGAAAGAUUAAACAUAUGCACUUCAGUUUGAGAUAUACGUUGCAGAGAAAGCUUGCAGAUCCAGCUAUUCUUUGCUUCCUUUUCUUCAUAAAGAUUAAGGGGCUGCUGUGUGUACAAAGUUAUAGUGGUGUUACAGGAAAUCCUAACACAAGACAACAGAGUAUCUGGAGGGAGCAUCGUGUGUAAAAGCUGAAAUAUCUCUAAAGUGAUUUGUGAGCAGUGAGGCAUUAGUGUGGCAUUGUUCCUGCCGGCCUGUCUUAAGGCACUUUUAAAGUCAGGCUUUCUGCGUGCCCUCGCUGAACCCCAACCGAAGUUGCAGGCUGUGAUUUGCUUGGCUUUUUAUCCGCUUUAUUUCUCGGCGUCUUGUUUUCCUGCAACCCACCAGAGGUCAGUGUAAUUCCAAGAAUGGCGAGGAAUAGGGCCGGGACAGUAAUGCCAAGUUUCUGCCAGUUGCUGGGAUUGUAGGAGUGUAGCAGCGAUCUGUCAGCAGUGUACCUUGUCUUUUGUCAGUACCAGCUGAACUGGGGAAAGGGUAUGAAGCCGGCAAUAAGUCUGCGUGAAGUCACCUUAGAUGGUGAGCUUGUCUGAGGCAGACAAGCCUCCAAGCAUGAAGCUGGCUAUAUCUUUCAAAGAGUGUUAAUGUCAAUUAGCAGCUUUUCAGAUAUUCUGGAGAGCCAAAGAAUGGCCUAAUCUUAUUAAGCUCUUGUCUCAGUGGCUCCUUCCCUUCCUUUUCUAACCACACUUGUUCACUGAAUAAAGGUCCUCACCGGACUGCAAUGACAUGUCAGUUUCCUUCAAAAGUUAUAAUAUUAAUGGGAUACAUCUUGGGACUCCUAGUAAAUUUUUUUUCUCCUUUACUUUUUAUUUUUUGUUACUGAAUUUGUUUGCCACUGUAUUUCCCUAUUCAGCUGAUUUGUGCAAGCUGUUUGGAAGUUCCUCUCAGCUUCUGUUGGUAGCCUUACUUGCUAAGUAUGUUUAAUUAUAAAACCCACUACAAUACUGGCACACUAAGAAUUUUGUUAAACGUGUAAGAAUUUUUUUCUGUUCAGAAAUUUUUGUAGCCACUCAGUAUCACAGGUCUCUUCAUCUAGUUCAUUGCAUUUGAAGCUGGUUUGCCAGAGUGAGGGGCAUUUCCUACCUGUUCUGUGAUUUUUAUCACUACUAACAAGACAAUAGGCUAAGUUUUCCUGGACAUAAAAAAAUGUUUUGAGCAAAUGUCUUUUCCCUGGUGAUACGAAUCCCCUGAUUGCCUCUUUAUUUUGUAGUAUUUCUAGGACUGAGUAUUUGGUAGAAAUAAGUACUCAGGCUCAGGUAAAUCAGUUAGUAAAGCAGAUUUUUGUGCACUCUGAGCAUCCCCAAAAGAUGACUCAUUUACUAAUGUGUGAAUCUGGGCAUCAGUGACAAAUAACAGACUGCUCCCUUAAAUAUGCUUUUAGAAUAACAUGUUUCCAUUAUUGCUUAAAUAAUUCUUGCAGUUGUUGAAAAAGCCACAGAAAGUCAGUAUGGGAAUUCCUUGGUUGCCAGCAGCAUAUAUCUAUUUACUCUUGAAUGAAGAGAAAAACUUGAAAAUGUGCAGGAAAAUGAGACAUUAGUCCUUGGCAGUGUCCACAGUUCUGCUCAGCAGUCUGAUAUGAGCUGCUCAGCUGCUUUGUGGGGAUGGUAGGUGAACCUGCCCCAGAUUCUGAUUGUGAGAAUUUGUCCUUUGUUAAGUCAAAGGAUUUUAAUCUUUGAGUAGAUGGACUGAUUCUUUUCAAAGCAAGAUGUUUUUGUUUGUGUGUUGGCACUAUCUUGCACUGUAUAUGGUAAAUACACUACACUUGUUUUGGAAAAGUUAACUCUAAUUCCUGAUACAUUCAAAUAUUCUAGAAAUAGCUUUUAUUUUCAAAACAUUAGUUAGUGUAAACAUACGCUGCCUCAUUUUUACCAUCAUUGUUAAGGCUUUGAACUGUUUAUUUAUUGUUAAGAAGCUCAGACAAGGUGGGCACAGAGUAAAAAUGGUAACCGCUUGUUUCUCUAAAUUACCACCGUGUAGCAGUGGUAGUGCUGGUAGUUUUUUAGGGUGGUUUGUAAAAGAAAUUUUCUUCUUUCCCCUAGAAGUUCAGUCUUAUUAUGGCACUUUUCACAUUAUCCAGGAGUAGUGUGUUCAGUUAAUUUGACACUGGGCACUUUUGAAUAUGACUUCUAGGUUUUGUUUGAAUCAUUUUUUCAGGUUCUUGGAGCAAGGUUCUUUUCCUGUGGAAAUGGGCAGAACAAUAGUGAGAAAGAUUAUGGUAUCCUUGCUUUUCUUCAUGGUGUGUUCUCUUUGCAGAGUCUCUUGGAUAGGUUCUGGACUCCCUCCUUGUUCCCUAUUCUUUAAUUUUUAAUGGAAAGGAGUGGAACAGAUCCAGCAACAUUUGCUGUACAGAAAAGGGCUUGUUUAUUCUUGUCCACAUAAUCAGGAGAUGUCACCUGGGUACUCAAAUUACCUAUACAUUUUCUUGGUAAAUACGUUCCGUCUGCAACUCCUCUGGCUUUGUAAGAAUGGAGCCCGUGGCUGUGUUGCAGAGUGAUGCAUCACUGUUCUGGCUUUUUAUUCUGUAUAGGUUUAGGAAGUUGUAACAAUUCCCUGUGUGCUGACUGUGUUGCCAGUAUUUCUCACUCUGAAAAGGGUGCUAGCAUAUCAUUAUGGUAAGAGCUGCUGUCUGUAUACAAAUGACGUAUCUUGAAAAUCACCGUGUCUCUGGGUCACUGGGAAGCAGGGGAACUGGAAGGAGAGAGAUGUGCUGACAAACACAUAAAGUUUCUGGUGAGAGGAGUGUUUAAAGAUGUGUUUAAAAAAGUUAACAACUGACAUCUUUCAUCUGGCCUUUUCUGUAGUGUUCUGACAUUUCUCUUCUGUGACCUUGCUAGAAGUUCCUAGUCCUAAUGUACUUAGGAAUUACCUAAUUUGGACUAAUAAAGAAAGAAGUGGUGCCCUUUUAAAUCCAGAAUAUUAUGAUACAUAUCUAUGUUUGCCUGAUGACCACUUUUUCUAGCCAGUGAGCAGUGUUGUUUCACCUAAUGGUGGCAGUGGGCCCUACUUAUCCACUAACCAGAAAAGCAGUUAUGAAUAUAGUACAGUUCUCUUCUGCUUAAAUGGUAGACGUGAGGCUUCCUAGAAACAUGGAAUAAUCAGUGGCAAAUCUUGAGGGAUCCUUCGAAGGGAGGCAGCUAGGUACAAGGUGAAGAUGAUGUAACAGUUUAUGUACCUUGUGACUUGCUUCCAUGGAGCCCUUAGGAAAGAGAGCAUCUGGAAGGAUCCUGCAGGCUGGAAAAAUUGCCUUGGCUUGCUGCAAACUGACCACAGAACUGGAAAUUAGUUCAGUCCAUGCACUUUUCUGCCUUCUUUCUCCAUCCCCUUCUUCUGCCAUGCACCUCAUCUUUUGCAUGGUUCAGUGUGUUUUAAUAUAUCCUUUCUAAGUAGGAUGAAAAUUUUAGGAGAUUUUUCUUUUGAAACGACAGCAUGGUGUGAUUCAGAGAAUGAAAUAGUUGUGAGACUGUGCUCAUAGUUGGGAAAUAAUGCUGUCUGCUGGUGGUAAUAUACAGAAUUAAUGUUAUUUUACACUAAUGCUGUUCAUUAACCCUCGACAUUGUAGUUUCACUGGAAAAUGUGUUGACUUGACAUAGGCUAAGAUAAUCAGAGCUUUUCUUUCAUUCUGUGAUUGUGCACAUCCUCUUUAAUUAGGAAAUUGCAGAGUAGAAGAUCCUUUCAGGCUGCAGUAUAAAAAAUGUCAGUAUUAAUCUACAAUAUUUGUCCCAUUCACUAUGAGCAAUUAUGAGUGAUGAAUUAUAAAUGAUAAAUUAUACACUGUGGUAUUCAUUUGUACUGCAACAUGAAUAGGUUUUCAAUUCUUGUCCUGUGCAUAAGAAAACCCCCGUAGCUUUAUUCACCAUGAAAAUGGGGUACAAGUUUUCACUUCUCUUUGAGAGCUGUUGGCUUUCACUUAGUCUAGAAGAGCUGCUGGUCACAGGUGUCCAUUUCAUAGGAGAAGUUUGUGUUCAGGGUCCACUGAGGACAUGCCCAGCUGCAAUGGCAGGCGUACACAUUGAUUGCAGACCAGGCUGAGCCAGCUGAGGCACUGGAUACCUCACAUACCUGUUCCUCCUUGCAGACUGCCUUCUCGUUGGGGUAAAUGCAAUGCCGAACUAUGGAAGAGAUAGAGUAAGACUUUGGUAGUGGGCUUUCUAUUGACCCUUAUAGCUAGCACUUGCUCAGAAUGCUGGGGUUUUUUUCUGAUGCUUGUUCUGAAGUAUUGAACUCACCCUUUGCAGGCCAGAGAAAGAUAGACUUCAAAGCCAAGGCAACAUGGCAUCGCUGUAGUAUACUCAGGAUUUCGAAGCCUAUAUUCCCCUACGGAUCUGAUCCCAGAGCAGCCAAGUCCUGGUUCUGCACUGCAAUGUACCUGUACAUAUGACUCGAUAUGGCCAUGAAGUUGGAAGCCUCUCAGAGCACCCUGAUAUCCAUUUGGAGACAGUUUUCAAACAUAGAUGUCACUAUUUCACUGUGCUCGUUGUCUAUUUAUUACUGUGUAGUGCUGGCUUUGUGUACCAAUAUUUACUUACUGUUUCACUCAGACUUCUAAAUGGAAGACUCUGAUGCUACCUGGUUGGGUUCAAAUUUGUCAUUUAGAUGCCUGGAAUAAAUGCAGAUUUCCAAAUUCAAUUUAUAAUUCCCUAGUGUUAACCAUCUCAACUAGUUAAAAUCCAGAAUACGUGCAGCUGCUCUGGAAGUUUGCCUUUAGACUGGCAACCAGUACUAUUUUGUCCAAAAUUUCAUUUACUUAGAACUUAAAAUCUCUUCUCUGUUUCAGGAAGUGACUACAGGAAAGGCCUUUGUUUCUCAACAGAUCUGCUCACUAGAUUCAGGAGGAUAGGAUAAACAAGCAUUAACCAGGUUUUCCUCCUGUUAACCUUAGAGUUCACUCAACUAAAAGGAGUACACUGAGUCUUCUUUUUGUAUAUUCUUCAUGAAGUUGCUUACUGAAUGCCAACUUUUGUGUGUCCUUUGAAAACAAUGGAUUUCCCUGUUCCUGCUGAAUGUUCUCACAAUCGUAUGCAAACAGGAAUUAACUUAUCUUGGCUUUCAAAUCCCAUGCUAAAUUCAAGCUUGUCAGAAAUUACUUAAUUUCAUUUGAACAUACUGAUAUGAAGGUUCCAGAAGAAUAACAAAUGCAGAAUGCCCAAAAGACCUGCCUAAGAGACAUCACUAUAACAAAAAAACCCCAACCAAACAAGUUUUUUGCUUUAAUAUGGAGGUAGAGAAUACAAAUUGGAGUGUCUUAGUUACAACUGACACACUUCAGCUAUGAAUGUUUUUACCAGCCACAGGUGCCAGUUGUGCUUCUUUGUGACAUGUUUGAAGACCACAUGUUGCCUUAGCAUACUUCUCAGGUUCCUCCUGCAGUAUUCAGUCUGUCAUCCUGGCAGUUGUGAACCCAUGAUCUCCUUUCUUCCUACCACCAGAGUUUGGCACACGUGUCACUAGGAGCGGUCUGAGAGGAGCAUAUGGUAUUGCUGCAACUGAGGAGGGAUUCCUUGUGGAAGUAUGAGUGCUGGAAGUUUUACGUCACCUGGAAGCUUUUUUUUCUUAACAAUUGUUAUUUUUGCUUUAUUGAAAUGGACAUGUCUGUCCAUAAGCAGGCACCUUGCCAUUGCAACAGAUGGGUAGGAACAUAAGUAGCCAGGAGAAUAGAUCUGUAUACCUUUCAAAUGUGUAAUAGUCUGAUUCUCAGAAAGCUGUCACUCUAGUUCUUCGUAGGGAACUUCCUUGGCAUAUGGCGAUAAGGGAGAUAGUCUAUUAUUACUCAAUUACUUAAAAAACCCCAAACUAUCAAAUGUAAUGUGCUGUGUUUCUUUCUCUAAUGAAUAGGAAGUAGAAUGUCUGGAGAUGACAAAAAGCUUCAGGUUUCUCUGUUUAUGUGAAGAAGAGAUUCUAAAGACAACAUGGCUUGAAACCUCUAUCUGUGUGUUCUAGUAUGUGGUGAACACUAGUUGGUAGUCCUGUAUUCCAUGAAGUGUUUACAACGCAGAAGCAGACAAUAGGUAACUGGUGCUCAAGCAAUCAAGCAGCUGGAACACAGGCAUAGCUAACACAGAGAAUGGAUAUUACAGUGCCUAUAGUAUGUUUUGUUCAUUCCUGGUUAGUAUUACAGAUUUUAUGCUUAAAAUAAAAUUUUUUGAAGAAACUUUCCUCCUAUAGGUCUGGUGAAAACUACUUGCUUUUUAUAAGCAAAAGCUGUCACUGAAAGAAAUAACACAGACAGCUCAGGUGUUAGCUGUUGUGUUUGGCAGCACAUUAACCAGCUGGCAGCUGGAUGUUAGCAGCUGUAUGUUCUAUUUCUUGCCUUUGUGCGGGUGUUGUCUGAAGGUUGAGAACAAAGGACACAACCCUAAGAAGCCUGCUUCUUAGUUCUGCUACCCACAGAACAGCUUGUAAUACUUACACUGUCAGAUAAGGAGAAAAUCAAUAUUUUCAAACCAGAAAUUGAUCCAAUGAGAAAAGUAAAAUAGGAUCUUUCCUCAAGAUUGAUGGUUUAUGGGGCUGGUCAGAUCUACGUGGGGAACAUUAGAGAACAUUAAAACAGACCAAUUAAUAAUAUUCAAUCAUAACACACUAGAACUUUCUUUAGUGUUAUAGCGGAAUAGGAGGUUGGGUGUGAGUCUUGGCUUUCUAUUUCCAUGCACAUGUAGAGGAAGGUAUGACCUUCACUCAAGCAGACGCCUGCAAGGUGUUGUUAAAUGGGGCCAUUAAGACAUGAACAAUAAUGGGGUUUGAGCAGUGUGCAGCAUUGCAGAACCCAGCUGCACGAGGGUUUAUUUGUGCGACAGACUGCACAGAGCUCCACACUGCUGCAAUUGCAGUUACCCCUGGAAAGUCUGCCGUGGUCACCUCCAGGAAAACUUAGAUAGCAGGGUAGAGAUGCCACUGCCCAUUGCACGCAGCCCCAGAAGUGAGUAUUAGAUAAUUCACUUGCCCUUGAAAGGGAGGCAUCAGAGUGUGUGUGUGUGGGCCCUGCAAACUGAUAAGCAUUGAUGCUGAAGCCUAGCCAAACAUGUUCUCCGGCACAGCCUAAUGCUCGUGCUGGAGAUGCUUUUCCAAAUUCUAAAUUGCUCAUGGAAAGCCUUUCCUAUUUUUGAAUCUAAUCUCCUUUUUCAUUCUUUACAGAUGAAUUAAGUAACAUGCAGGGUCCAAAUUGCAAUCACUUGUUAUGUCUAGACUUUUUUCAUAUAUCCCAGUAUAUACCUCUUCAUUUCCAGUAGUGCUCAGAAGACCACUCAGUAGACUCAGAAAAGAAUGGAGCCCUGAAUAAAAUCCUUAAAAUUUCAUUUCCUACUUUGAGAACUUGUCUUCUGAAAACCUGAUCUGUAGUGAAGAGCUAGUGAAAACAGAUUAUCUGAAUUCCUGCAGGGUAACAGUGCCAUUAAUGAUAUGCUUAAGGUUAAAUGCAUAUAAAUACAAGAUCUGGGCCUAAGAAAGUAAGUGAUUUGAAAAUAGAGAGAUACAAUUAAUUCUGGAUUUUAAAGGUAAACUGAGAACGUGUCCACAUACUUUUACAUCCUUUAUAUUGCUGUUACAUAGCUGUUUAAAAAUUGAAAGCAAAAGCAGGUUCCAGUUUGCUUGGGAGUGAAAAGCACUUAGAUACAAGACAAGUUUGUUACUGAAAGAAAAAUUAAAUAAUCAGAUAUGGAUUUUAAAGUAAAGAAUAAAAUAGCUUCUAAAGAAGAAAUAUAAGCUAUGUGACUGCUAGAGUGAUUGCAUAAUGCAGGCAAAAAAGCUGUUUUCUGACCAUCUCCAGAAAAAUGCACUUGAAAACAUAUAGGGCCAGGUCAUCAUUUUAUUAGUUUUUGAGCAUUUUUCCUCUCUCUCUCUGAGUGUUGUUGUUUUUGUUUGUUUGGUUGGUUGGUUUGGCUUGGUUUGUUUCUGUAGAGCAAUGCAUCUGAGGUAACAUUGAAGCCAUAACUCAAGGAAUUUUAGAGGGAUAGCUGUAUUUUAGGCCUAGGUUAAAAAGAAGUCAGAGAAAGCACUGUUUCUAGUCGAAGAAUAUUUUUAAACUUUUGUCACUCUGCCUAUGGAAUAACUCCACUGAACUCAGAUUCAAAGCUGCAGAUUUGCACAAAUGUUAAGUCAUCUCAGAAACUAGGUAUUUGUUUUAUUGUAAUAUCUGAACCUAGAAAGAUAAACAGUUACGUUAAAUAGGGACCACAGCAGGUUAGGAUUGCAGAAAACUUAAUUUAUUCAGCUCAAAAAACAAGGACUAGCCACUUAAAAUUCCAUGUGAUUAAGGUGACUCAUUCUUGGCAGUAUCAUACUACACCAGAAUGGAAAAUCAUCUUGAUUUGUAAUACUAAAGAGAAGCUCAUAUAUACCAUAAUAAGAUGAGAAUGAGUAUAUGAGAAGGACUGAUGUGUAUUGGUUCAAGUUUAUUGAAAAUUUGGACACAUGUUUUUGCUUGCUCUGAAAUAAUCUGGGAGAAUUUCAGAAACACUUGCUAUGCUGUAUCAUUAACCAAACAAUAUUUUUGCGUCACAAAAUGGUGUCCUUGCAUGUGCCUUUUUAUGCAAUGUCAUUCCAUCAUGGUGUGUUUUGAUUUAAGUGAAUCAUUGCACAACUUCGCAAAUGGACCUGUGAUCUAAGAAGAGGAAAAACACACAACUCUAUGAAAUUAAUUUUACUGGAGAAGUACCUUCUUGGUCAUAUAGGUUAACAGAUGGUAGAGAUGCUGAAGAUGAUAUGGAGGGCAUAAUAUUAAUAUAUAUCUAUUUGGGCAGGUUCAUAGUGUGGAGGAGUAAUGGAGUUUUUCCCUUAAGUGGUGGAAUCCUUAAAACUGAGAUUCUUCCUCCUUUUUGUUUUUUAUCUCUAUGCAAACACCUACCGGUUUGAAUGUAUUUUUAAAGUAGCUUGUGAAAUGAUUUUAUUUGUUUUAUUUUAAUGUAGGAUUUACUGUAUUCAGAGUGGAAGAAAAUAAAAUUAAAAACGUGCAGAGCCAGACCUCUUCACUUUCAUGCUGAAGACAGCCUUUAUUUAGACAGGAUUUCCAAACAGUAAUGGUGCCAAGGCUUGCUGACUUUUUUGCUGCAGGUCACUAUGGUUCAUGGAAUUAUUUUCACAAAAUGGAGCUAGUGGGACUGUUCACUGAAGUUUAGUGGUUUGUGUGCUUUGCUGUAUAGAUAAGACACCAAAAUCAAGCCUUUGUUUAAAGGAGGAUAGUCACCAUGUGUUUAUCUCAUUAAGGUCUUGAUAGAAAAGGUCACUUGCAGGAAGUAGGUUAGGUCUGUGGUAAACGGUGGCACUACAGGUAAUGAAUAUUACAAGUAUACUUGUAAUUCCCUGGAUUUGUAAUAUUGGUAAGCACAUCCUUGAAAUUUUUUUAAAUAAAAAUGUGUAAUUCCAUAAAAUACAAAUGGAUCGUUACAUUGUGGAAAAGAGAAUAUCAUUCUUGUUUGGACCUGUCAUACUUGUAUAGUGCUGCAAUACUAAGGGGCUUUUCAGGGAAAACCUACAUAGAGACUGGCCCAUGCUCCAUUCUAUGUCUCCUACAUACAUAUUUAUGUGAAUGCAGGAUUAGUAAUCUGUUUGACCCCCUACAAUUCAUCUGGUGACUGUAAUCAUGAUAAUGUGCAGUUCAUGUAUUAAUUUACCCCUAUGAGAUUUAUUCCAGAUUUUGAAGCCUCUAAACACAACGAAUGAUUACAGGAAAAAGAGAGCAUGACAAGAAAAUGUUUCCUUCACUUUUCUAAAAACUAGUUAUGUAGGAGCCUUUUUUCUCAAAAAUAGCCUAUGUUCAUGAGCCAUUAUUAAUGUCAUUUAAUCCAGUAUUUGUUCUAGCCUUGGAUUUUUUAAGCAAAGAUUUGCCUUAAAACUGCAAUGUUUAGUAUAUUUGACAACUGUAAUAUUUUAAAAGACUAAAAAUAUAAAAUCCAUAACUUUUUAGAAAAGGUAGCUUAUAUAGUUUAUUGAUGGCUUUACAAUUUCUCUAGUACAGUGAUUUGAAUAUAUGAUACACAAGAAAAAAUGCUAUAAGAGAAAAGAAUUGAAGAUGCUAUACAGCAUUGUCGUAUUUUAGUGUUCACAAUUCCUAUUUUUAUACAUAUGGUGCGUGUAGUAUAUAGAAGUAAGAUGACAUGAGGAAUUACAUAAGACCUCAGCUGGUGUUUUUUUAGUAAUAUUUAGUAGUAUUCCUAAUACCUUUUUCUUUCUUUCCCCAGGAAUGACUAUUGAUACAAAUGUGUAUGCGAUAGAGGAACAACUGACAACUGGGCUUGCCUUUAAAAUACUAGAAUUGGCUGUUCAGGACUCAACUGCCCUCUGUGUUUUCUUCAUACUGUUUUCUUUUGUUGAGAUCCAUCAGCACAGUUCUGAACUGGGGUUUCAUCUAACUCUUGUGACUUUGACUCAUAGUUCCAGGUGGACCAGCACCUUUGGCAGAUGCAUUAACACUAUCCCAUGUGGAAAGAGUCAUUUUUCCAAAUCGGCAGCUCUCACACUAUUCAGAUUUGAGCUUAUGCUGUUAAAAGUCACCUAGUAUCCAACAGAUAACUUACUAAGGUCAAAGAGUGUCAGUAACCACACACUCUCAGGAAGUGGUAUGAUUGAAAAUCAAAUCCACUGCUACCUUUUCAAGUCUGGAAGAGGAAACCUCAUUAAGAUCACACUGCAGUACAAUAAGGUUUCCCCUCCUGGGGAUCACCACCUUUAUGGCAAACAUCUGGGUGAUGACCAGCGAAGCAACUGCCCAUCACAGCAGCAAUAUAAAAUUUGAUCCACAUUCGACUCAUAUUCCAGUUUGUGAGCUGCAGUGAUCACCCGUUGAAGCAGCUGUACUUGGUCUUAAAAUCCCUACCCACACCAGAUGAGGUGGCUGAGCAGAUACAGGAUGAUGAAGCAGGGUUGCAGCGGAAUAAUAGUUUGCAACAACACUGAGUUGAGCUGUCAGAAAGUCAUACAAAUUCUAUCAAAUAUCUGGAAAGAUGAAGUGGAAGCCUGCCAAGACAUAACCUGUCUAGGGCUUGGAGAAUUCAAAUGAUUUGGUUUUACAAACCUGCAUAGCCACUACACAGGUUUUUGUGAAUUUCACCAAAACUGGAAAUAAAUGAUUUUGUCAUUGCCUUCAUCCAUGUGGAAACAUUCUAUAUCACGGGAAAUGUUCUUUGAGAAUGCAGCACUGAUGGGGCCUGUAUUAAAAAUGUGCUUUAAAUCAAAUGGGAGAGCAAAAAGGAAUGAAAUACAGAUUGUAAAGAAAGCAGGUGUCAUUUGAUGUGAUCUAGUUCAAACUUGUAGUUGUCUCACCCUUGUACAAAGAUUUAGCAGAAGCCUUCAGGAUUAAUACAAACCAAAAUGCUGAGAUAUUUUUAUUGUCUUAAUAAUCUUCUUUCUGAGUGAUGGUUGAGACCCUCAGAAUACAUAAAUCAAAAUAUUUAUACUGUAUUCAUGCCUGCUAUAUAGCUAUCUAAUUACUAUUUUUACACAGCUUUGGUGACUAUGAGUAAAAGUUGACUAAAACCAAUACUGUUUUGUUGAUGUUGUGUUUGAUUUUGCUGUUGUUGUUUUGAUUUGGUUUUGGUGUGGUGGGUUUUUUAAGAUGCUUGCUGUUUCAAGAGUCAUUUCAGUCUAUAUCCCAGUAAAAAAAACCAGCAAAUCCACACUGUAGGUUUGUGAUCAGUGUACUAGAAACAAAAGUCAGGAGCAUAGAUGUUGGAAAGGCAUCCUUUAUUAUGUGUACAUUUCUUUGAGAUAAUUUAGGGGAUAUUUAGAUAUUUGCCUGCAAACCAGCCCCUCCAGUAUUCUAAGAUAGGUCCAACAGUAGGAAUAUGGGUAUCUGAGCUCUUACCCAGGCUCUGUUUUGGUUUUAGCUGAUCUAGAUGCAGCAGUUUCCAUCAGAAAUCUUGUAAGAGGUUGUCCUGUACUACAGCUGUUAGCACCCCAAAUUCUUACCAGAUCAAAUCAAAGUUCUGGAUGUGAGCUGCUGCUGCUGAAGGGGGACACACUGCUUUUUUGCCACUAUUGCUUGGUGGCAGCAGAGAGUCAUCACUUUUUAAACUGCGACAUUUGUCAUCUAACAUUGACAAUAUCCAUGAGUCAGGGUGUUUAGCACAGCACGUGCACACUACAGUGUCCCAUGGGUUCUUGAGAUGACCCCCUUACGGCUUGCCAACUCAUGGUUUUAGGCAGACCAAGUCCUGAGCUAUGCAAACAAGCCCUACACCUCUCUCUCUAUAUAUUGCACAUAUUUCUCCUUUUAUUUCUGGAGUUAGAUCUAAGGAAAUCAGUAUGCUUAGCUCACCUCAGAGCACAGUGGGGCAUUGCUUAAACUCACUGAUGUCUUGCACAUAAAUAGUGAACGAAGGUCAGAUAAACUUAAUGUAUGAAUGCAAAUGCCCCUGUUGAAGCAAAGAACAAGCAAAGAACAAGCAACCCAGGCUUGAUAAUUUAUCUAGUGCAGCAUUUUUGCUGAUAGCACAGCUCUGUCUCUGCAGUGUGUUGUCAUCAGUUCCUUUGUCCAUACAAUCAUUAUUAACAUUAUAAAAGCCCCAUGAGGCCCCAGUCCUCAGCACUUUACCAAUGCCACUCUACGGUCAAGAGCCCUGUCCUGGAGAGCAGUCUAGGUCUGUGGGGUACAGUACUUCCUUUGUCUAGAUUCUAUAGCACAGCAGAUCCAAGAAGAUUCACAUGUGCCUCUGUGAGAGGAGAAGGCUUGGACUGGUCACAGCCAGUCUUGUGUGCUUUUUAUUCCUCUUAUUUGCCUUCUCUGUUUUAACUUGUUUUAUAGGUGCAACUGAAUUCUCAAGCAAGAUUGAAUUUUUAUGCCUGAAAUUGUUUGUUAUACAUUUAUACUGAAGUAAUACAUCUACAUACUGCUGUUGUAAAAAGCAUUGUUUUGUGUUGUACAGAAAUUUGUGAACUUGCUUUAUUGGCUCUUGUCAAUGCCACAAUAAAAUCCAUCUGUACUUGGAGCAAAGAGAUAAUGCUUGGCUGAAUACAGGAAUAUUCCUCUUUGUAAAUUCUUACUCUCUUUCCAUGAAUUAAGAAUUAUUCUUUACCCCUGUCUGUUAUCUUGUCUUCAUGGUCUGGAUAAGUUUUUGGAAUGUAAGAAUUCAGUCAACAUUAACUUUGUUCCUCUGCUUUGCUCAGUUUAAAACUGUUUCUGUGACAACAGGAAAUUAAUUUUUUGAAGAAAAGUAUUGGUCUCUUGAGGUUUCCUAGAAGACCUAAUGUUGUUAUCUUCCAUAAAAUGACAACAAAUACAGUCAAUUAUUUUGUUGAACCUUUCUGUACUGCAAUUCUGUUCAUAUAUGUAUAGUUACUGUCUAAUUGGAUAUGCACUUGUCUUGCAGAUAGUUGGUUUCAGACAGACCAAACAGUGCAUUGCUAUGUCCACAAACGAAGUGUUAAUGUUUUGCUUUAUACCAGACUUACUUCAUGUCAGGAUGUAUAUCAAUAAACAGCUAGUCAUAUAUACAUGUAUAAAAAAUUGCAGAAAUUAAACUCUUUCACACAUUUACAAGGGGAGGGGAUGAAGUCUCACAUGAUUUCUGGUACGUCAUGUUGAGCAGCAGCUAACACUGCAGCAUCCAUGGUACACUUAAUUUCUUUGUCUCUACAGUUGACCCUGCCCUAGAUGAGAGAAAGUUGAUCACAGAGGAGAAAAUGGGGCCACAGUCUAUUUCUUAAGUACAACUCUGCAGUGAAAAGGAUAGGAUUUUCUGUACAUGGUUUAUGUUGGUGUUUGAGUUGCUGAAGUACUGACAGCACUAUCUAUAAUUCAGUGAUAAAAACUGUAACACUAUACACAUGAAUGGCUGCUGUUCAAAUACCAGGACGUCCUCAGGCUAGACCACUGAUAUCAAGAAAUAUUUUUAUCCCCAUCCGACAGAUUCUGAAAUCGAAGACGGGAGUGACUGUAUCGCCUCAAAUCACACUGCAAUUUAGAAAGCACCCAUGAGUGUUUAAUAUAUGUUAUAUAAUAGUCUGUAUAAUUUAGCACAUGUAUUUAAUAUGUAUUAAACAUUCACUGAUAGUUUCUAACUUGCUGUGUGAUUCACAACUGUGUGAAUCCCUUCUUUGGUUUCUGAAUAUAUAAAUAAUAAACCCUUCUGGUUAUAUUUUAA